rnacentral:rRNA from 1 species
GACGAACGCUGGCGGCGUGCUUAACACAUGCAAGUCGAACGAAGAGCGAUGGACGCUUGCUUCUAUCAAUCUUAGUGGCGACCGGGUGAGUAACGCGUAAUCAACCUGCCCUUCAGAGGGGGACAACAGUUGGAAACGACUGCUAAUACCGCAUACGAUCUAAUCUCGGCAUCGAGGAUAGAUGAAAGGUGGCCUCUACAUGUAAGCUAUCACUGAAGGAGGGGAUUGCGUCUGAUUAGCUAGUUGGAGGGGUAACGGCCCACCAAGGCGAUGAUCAGUAGACGGUCUGGGAGGAUGAACGGCCACAUUGGGACUGAGACACGGCCCAGACUCCUACGGGAGGCAGCAGUGGGGAAUCUUCCGCAAUGGACGAAAGUCUGACGGAGCAACGCCGCGUGAGCGAUGACGGCCUUCGGGUUGGAAAGCUCUGUUAAUCGGGACGAAAGGCCUUCUUGCGAAUAGUGAGAAGGAUUGACGGUACCGGAAUAGAAAGCCACGGCUAACUACGUG